rnacentral:sRNA from 1 species
UCUUGAGUGCUUUCCUUAGGGUCUUUCCAAAAUUUUAUUAGCUCAUUGUAAAUUGCAGUUUCCACACAGAUCUGUCUCUAAUGCUCUAACCUAUCUUUGUUUUGCUACCUCAUAUACACCAACUGUCUCUUUUCCAACAUGUACUCCCAGUCUCUAAUGACUAACAUUCAAUUUCCUUCUUUCAGACCAACAUUUUAAUCUUCCAUGUGUGAGAAUAUGUGACAUUUGUGUUCCUGUGCUAAGCCAGCUUGGAAAAUAAACAUGAAAUAGUUAUUUGCAUUUGACUAAUUGUUUUUGAAGGCUUUUCCAAGAUGGUUUAAAGUGAGCAUCUAUCUAGUUUUUGGAGAAGUAGUUUAAUUUAUUAUCAUCAGAGGCAUUUGUAAAAGGUAAGCUAAGCUGACUUUGAUUAUGAAGAUUGCCUAAUUGAUUAUUAGGCUACUUCUGGAAAAUUCAAACAAAUAUACAAAGUGUAAUUUAUGAUACAUGAUAGUGCUUUCAAAGAGAAUUUGAAACUAAAAAACAAAACAAAACAAAACAAAAAAAAACCCAAAACAAUAAUUCGGAUUCAAAGUCAGGUAGCAGAAAUAAGAAUAAAUAAAUAGAAGAUGAGGGAAGAUGCAAGAAAAAUACAUACAGCUCAGAUUGGUAGAAUCAUGGUCCAAAGUACUUUCAAGAACAUUUCCUGAGUCUACUAAUAUCCAUCCAAAGUCCAUGUGUAUUUCCUAUUAUCUAUUGUCUCAUUAUUGUGCAUCUUUACUUCUUUAUCCAUGCCCUCGUUCUUUUAAUCUCAUCUAGGAUAGAGGAGGGAGUGCAUUCUGCAUUCUGCUAAUAUUCAACACAAAUGGAACAUUCCAGGCAUAAAUUCAAAGCUCUGCAGAUUGCCACUAACCACACGCUCCCACAAAAAGGACCCCAUCACUUUAAUGAGGCAACAAACUAAGGAGUAUUCUUCAUAUGAAAACAAAAGGGACAAGAAAGACAUAUAGGAAGAAUGAUUUGGAGAUUGGGAGUGUCCUCACAGUAACUAACACAUCUCCCUCACACUGCUGUUUACAGCUGUACUUCUCCAAGGUUAUAGCAUUUACAAGAAAUAGUGUUAUUUCUCCAAAUAGCACAGCAUCUAUCUAAUACAAAUCAUCAGCCCUACUGAUUUUUUUCUUCAGUGUGAUUGAAAAUUAGAUGGAAAUGUACUAAGAACUUGUCCAUGGGAGGAAGGAAAUAAGAAAUACAGAUACUCAUAUGUCCUCUAAGGGAGCAUACGUUAUGGAAAGUAAAUGAAGGACAGGAUGACAUGUAAGUGCUUGGUGGUUAUUUCUUAGAGAUAGGGGAUCCUAGGAGAAGAGAUUAAAAUUUGUGUCUGUGUUAAAAAGUGCCUCCUGGCAUACAGAAACUUAGAACACAUGGGAAGUAUGAGUAAGGAUGGAGAAAAUGGGGCAGAAAUGAUAAUGUAGAAAUGGGGCAAGAGUUAUGACAGCUGGUAUUAGAGGGCCAUUUUAUUAGAUUGGGUAGAAUUCACUAGAGAGUGAAGGAUACAAUUAAUUAAUCAGGGACCAUUUCUAAUAGAAGUUUUAAUUGAGUUAAAGCUGUUACGCUGAUAUC